rnacentral:rRNA from 1 species
CCUACGGGAGGCAGCAGUGGGGAAUAUUGCACAAUGGGGGAAACCCUGAUGCAGCGACGCCGCGUGAGUGAAGAAGGAAUUCGGUAUGUAAAGCUCUUUCAGCCGGGAAGAAAAUGCCGGUACCUGAGUAAGAAGGCCCGGCUAACUACGUGCCAACAGCCGCGGUAAUACGUAGGGGGCAAGCGUUAUCCGGAUUUACUGGGUGUAAAGGGGGCGUAGACGGCAGUGCAAGUCUGGAGUGAAAGGCGGGGGCUUAACCCCCGGACUGCCGUUGAAACUGGAAGGCUGGAGUGCAGGAGAGGUAAGCGGAAUUCCUAGUGUAGCGGUGAAAUGCGUAGAUAUUAGGAGGAACACCAGUGGCGAAGGCGGCUUACUGGACUGUAACUGACGCUGAGGCGCGAAAGCGUGGGGAGCAAACAGGAUUAGAUACCCGGGUAGUC